AAUGAUUCCAGAUGAACCAUCGACGUGCUACGUAAAGAGAGUGACGAGUCAUAUACAUUUGGCAAGAAACCAUGAAGCUGCCUACAGCCGUCUCGGUGGCAUAAGAACACAAGAAAUUGUGUUAAUUAAUCAAAGCUAUAAAUAACGCUCGCAUGCCUGUGCACUUCUCCAUCACCACCACUGGGUCUUCAGACCAUUAGCUUUAUCUACUCCAGAGCGCAGAAGAACCCGAUCGACACCAUGAGGGUGUUGCUCGUUGCCCUCGCUCUCCUGGCUCUCGCUGCGAGCGCCACCUCCACGCAUACAAGCGGCGGCUGCGGCUGCCAGCCACCGCCGCCGGUUCAUCUACCGCCGCCGGUGCAUCUGCCACCUCCGGUUCACCUGCCACCUCCGGUGCAUCUCCCACCGCCGGUCCACCUGCCGCCGCCGGUCCACCUGCCACCGCCGGUCCAUGUGCCGCCGCCGGUUCAUCUGCCGCCGCCACCAUGCCACUACCCUACUCAACCGCCCCGGCCUCAGCCUCAUCCCCAGCCACACCCAUGCCCGUGCCAACAGCCGCAUCCAAGCCCGUGCCAGCUGCAGGGAACCUGCGGCGUUGGCAGCACCCCGAUCCUGGGCCAGUGCGUCGAGUUCCUGAGGCAUCAGUGCAGCCCGACGGCGACGCCCUACUGCUCGCCUCAGUGCCAGUCGUUGCGGCAGCAGUGUUGCCAGCAGCUCAGGCAGGUGGAGCCGCAGCACCGGUACCAGGCGAUCUUCGGCUUGGUCCUCCAGUCCAUCCUGCAGCAGCAGCCGCAAAGCGGCCAGGUCGCGGGGCUGUUGGCGGCGCAGAUAGCGCAGCAACUGACGGCGAUGUGCGGCCUGCAGCAGCCGACUCCAUGCCCCUACGCUGCUGCCGGCGGUGUCCCCCACUGAAGAAACUAUGUGCUGUAGUAUAGCCGCUGGCUAGCUAGCUAGUUGAGUCAUUUAGCGGCGAUGAUUGAGUAAUAAUGUGUCACGCAUCACCAUGGGUGGCAGUGUCAGUGUGAGCAAUGACCUGAAUGAACAAUUGAAAUGAAAAGAAAAAAAGUACUCCAUCUGUUCCAAAUUAAAAUUGGUUUUAACCUUUUAAUAGGUUUAUACAAUAAUUGAUAUAUGUUUUCUGUAUAUGUCUAAUUUGUUAUCAUCCAUUUAGAUAUAGACAAAAAAAAUCUAAGAACUAAAACAAAUGCUAAUUUGAAAUGAAGGGAGUAUAUAUUGGGAUAAUGUCGAUGAGAUCCCUCGUAAUAUCACCGACAUCACACGUGUCCAGUUAAUGUAUCAGUGAUACGUGUAUUCACAUUUGUUGCGCGUAGGCGUACCCAACAAUUUUGAUCGACUAUCAGAAAGUCAACGGAAGCGAGUCGACUCAAAAAAAAUGGGUUGUGGAUGAGGCGUUAGGCCCAACUUAUGGCAGUCCGAUAUCCACAAUUCCUGGUCUAUAUAUAGCUUCGCUGCUAUGUCCUUCGCCUCCCUUAGUUAAAGACUCGAAGCUAAGCUUCAUCGUUGUAUCCGUCAGUUUAAUGUAGCAUAUUAAGCACUUUGUGUUGGGUCAACAUCGUCGGAGCUCGAGUACAUAGUGAGUGUGAUUUCAUAGAGUAAAAGAAGAGUGGGAUGAGUAAAAUAAAAGUGGUGUAAGCAAAAUAGAGAGUGAUAGGUGCGAAUGAAUCCAAACAUCUUCUCAACUUAAAGGCCAGCCAUAUUCUAAAAAAUUAAAAAAAUAAAAAAUAUAAUUUGUAGCCUUUAAACGGUUAAAAACUAGCUAACAUGAUAUAUGUAUAUAGAUUAGAAUAUGUCAUGUCGCUAAAGUCAGCAACUAUCGACCUAACCGACCGUCUAACACGUUGGCUCCAACAAUUACCAGCGAUCGGUAUCUAAUUACCUCUUGUUCAACCAUCGCCGGCUCCAACAUAAUGGAUACCGAUCCACCGGUCAGCAAGCCCACCAAUCAACAGGCCAACGUUGACACCGGAUCGCCGAUCCGACCGCAUCAGUCGGUAUCCGGCAACGAUUACUACUAUACAAACAGUCAAUAGGUACAAAUAGGUAAGCGUGUCAUUGGUCUCUUAGAUGGAUCUAACCGUAGAUGCAAUUGUCAUUUGUUAGAGGAAUUUUUAUAAAGCCAUAUGAGAUGCCAGUGGAAGAGUUUAAGUGCUAAAUAUGAUCUACAGUGGACCAAAAACUCGCUUACACACUUGCACCUAAUAGUUGUUUGUAUAGUAAUUGUUGCCAUCGAUAUCUACCGAACAAGUCUAGGUCUAUUUGGUUGGACUGUGACUACGAAAAAAGCUACUAUAAACUGUGAGUUGUUAAAAAGAUAAAAAUUGUUUAGUGGAAACCACUAAAAGUUGCUAAAAAUUCUUCCAUAGUUAUAUCUGAAAGCCGUUAAAAACAUGUUCAGAUGUGAUUUCAGUUUUACACUGCGAGAAAGUCAGCUUAUAGAUAAAGAAAAAAUGAUUAUUAAUUCCAACAGUUUGGUUUGACUUUUGAUUUUUAGAGACAAAAGCCAAUAAAAACAGGUUUAGAGGUGCUUUCAGUUUUACACUGCCAGUAAGUCAACUUCUAGGGAAAGUUGUUUCCUAUAUACAACUGUUUGGUUUGACUUUUUGGAGCAAAAGUCAAAGCCAAAAAUCAAAUCAAACACACACUUGACACUGUUAGAUAUGAUCUCUUAAACAAUAUCCAGCAAUUCACUAUUGACUGCACUAUUUGUAUAUGAUCUCUUAAACCAUAUCCAGCAAUUCACUAUUGACUGCACUAUUUGUAUAGUGGAGUUCGAAUAUGAAGAUAAGUACGAUGACGAAGAUAGUCAUACUCUUAGUUCAAUUAUAUCCAAUGCCCGAUGCAUUACAAUUUGGUCCGCAAGUCACAUGAAAAAGAGAAGCAUUAUUGCGCCAGCAGCUUCAGGGCCUCACACUUCCGUGCUGUUGCAUCAAAUGUUUGAUUGAUCCAGACAAGGGAAACUAAAAACACAAUUGAGAUUAAUAUAAACAAGAAGCUUACACCAGCAUCUAACCAACUACUGUAGGAGCUUGUCUGUGUUAUCAGUUGUUACAUGUUAUAUAAGCCUCAUAAUAACCACUAAAUUAACGAGAUGAUACAUUCGAAUACUACUACAUACCUGGAAGGCCUUGCCCAUCUUUCCAUCAGCCUAUUAUCUACUCUAAUGAUUCUUCCCAUAAACAUGGGACCAAAGGAAAAGAAAAAAAAAACAAGAAAAUUAAGCAUUUCGUGGUACAGAUGCUGUAUUUGAAAAACCGUUAGCUGCUUUUGGUGGUGGUGGCUUCUUCUUGUAGUUUGCUAAGCUACAGUGGGGGCAGAUGUAUUCCAAACCAUCUGUCUUAGCGUAAUCCUGCAAGUAAAGCACAUGAUGGCAUCAAGUAACUGAUUUCCGGCAAGGGUGAGAUCAACACAACCCAUCUUCUUGUUUACCUUGAAAGUGCCUAGUCCUUGUCGUCUGUCGCAACCAAAGUGAGCCCAUUCACCACAUAAACCGCAGUUCACCCAAUCUCCAGGUGCGCUACUGAAAUUACAUAAAAGGAGCUGUUAGAUAUUAACAUGAUAUUAGUAUUUAGGCAGAGAUUUGAAGGAAGAUGCCCUCAAACCUGUGACAAAGUAAGCAGCAUUCGCCAUCCACGUCAUCAUGUGCCAACUCAUAUUCCAACAAGUAUGUCUCGUAAUGUCUUUUCAACGUGUUACCUACACCCUAAAUAUAUACAGAGAAGUGCACAGAAUUAGAACAUCGCAUUUAGCAGGACCAGAAAUCGUAUCAGAAAACUGAAAUAAAUGUCAUACAGUCAUUCUGUUUGUUGCGGUAUGGUUACGCAUCUUUGAAAAAACUUGACCCUUCCAGUUUAUGCCAUUACCCACAUAAAAUCCACCUCUAGACACCACCUAAAAGUAAAGAAAACAUUUAUCAGGAAACAGAUUGAUAGUACAUGUCACUAGACCUUAGUUCUCAUAAGUAAACUAGUGCAAAGAAUUACCUCUUUGUACAGGUUAUAAAGAUCAAGGCGCUUGGCGUUAAGGAUUGCAUCAGGAAAUUCAGCUAGUCCUCCGUGAGGUACAAGUCGAUUGUGGCCCCUCUGGAUUAAAAACUGCAUGACAUCCUUCAAAAAAUCCUCCUACAAAAAAAUGAAAAGAACAGCUCAGUUUCUAAACUGAUUAUGUAUGGAAAACAACCAUAUCAUCAUCAUGACUCAUGGAGGUUAAAGUGUACCUCAGAGCACACUUGGAUAGGCAACCUAUCACAUCCGUGUUUCUUCAUUGGCAGAGGAUUUAACUGAAUGACUGAGGGAGUAUGAGACGGCCCUGAUGUUGAUUUUCUGUGCGUGGUUGUGGCAGAAGAAACUGAAUUGUGCUUCACAGUUGGUGCAGCUGGCAAGCUUGGCUUCACAAUACUAGUUUCGUGAAGGGAAGUUUCAGGAAAACCCAUAAAUGGAUGCAUUUGUUGCUUUCGAGAGUGAGGAAUGGGCCUCAUAGUUGCAGGCUUUAAUUUAGCCUUGACGGCUGACCAUGAGGAAGGCCCUUCCAUCAUAUGCUUCUUGUCUUCCAAAACUCCAUUUGCACCCAACAGAUUUUGUUUUGAUUCUGAACCCACCUUUGUUCUGUCCUUGGUAAGGGAGGCUGACCAUCUUGGAAGAUGAAAAUAUGGACCAUUUUCAUUAGCCAAAUCUUUGCACUGACUUGUGCAAAAGAAUAAUAGACGGUCUGCAUCCCGCCUCUCAAAUGAAGCAACAGGAGUACCAUUUAUACAACCAAUACCAAGUGCAACCAAGCUCCUGUAUGAUAUAUCUGGCGCUAGAUGCUUCAGAACCUAAAAAUUCAAAGAAGAAUGUUAGUUCAAGAUGAACAUUACUGGUUCAAUAUGUAAGGUUAGAAGUGCAUAAGUGGGAAAAAAAUAUUAUACAAGAUCAUAUCAAAGCAGCAUAAAAUUCUAGCAUGAUUGUUAAGGCAGUGAGGCAACCUACGGCGGUCUACAACCUUUUUUCCUUUUAAGCACCUAAGGCACGACGCAAGGCGACUUCAUAGACAUAUAAGGCAAAUAAUAACAAAAAAUGCAUAAGUAAAUAGAUAGACCAUAGAUAUUAUAGGACAUACAAGUCCUAAUACAUAGCAUAGUUUGCAAAAUAACAUAGUUGACAGUUCAUAAGAACUAACAAGUUCACAAUGCAUAGUUCAUAACUUCAUAAACUAACAAAUAGACCUGCUAAUCUGAAAAAUUAUGAAGGGCCAACAACCAGGUUACGAUAGCCCAUGACCUCCACUCGGCACACAGGCCUAAUCCACCACGCCAACAUAUCCCCGUUCAGGCAUCCACCUCGGGUAACCAUAGAACCUAAGCUGCUGAUUUUCUUCCACAUCCCCAGUCAAGCACCUCGGCACAGCGGGCAGGGCGAGCGGAUGGCGCGGCGGGCAGGCAAAGCGCCGGGUGGGUGGCGCAGCGUGGCGGACGGGCACCCCGUUCCUAUGCGUCCACGACAAGCGCUAAGACGUCGCCGUGGACGCCACCGUGGACGCCAUAGACGCCAUAAGCCCAGAUGGUAAGGCGUCCGACCUCCAGCGCCUUAGCGCUUAACAACCACGAAUUCGUGUGAGUGCAUAUUAUAUGCAAACAAUGUCAGAAACAGACCUGUGCUGCCCACUUAGGAAGGGACAUCCAAACUUCAAAGGUAGAAGCCCCACAAGCCGUGGACAUGGAAGUUAAAGGCUCGCUUGAUGGUAACUUGUCCUCACUAUUUGAUAGAGCACGGACUAACUGGCUCUUCUCAAUAAUUUCAUUCUUGAUGUGGCUCUCUAGAAGCUGCACAGACAGGUGAACACCAUGUGACUUUACACAGCAAGACCAAAAAAGUAUCCAAGGUCAAAGGAAUAUAUACCUGGUCAUCAAAACAAGUUUGUGCGCUACCAGAAACGAGGAGUGACACAUGGGAAGAACUGCAAGUACUGAUAUCACAGCGCAUAGUAACCAUCCCACGUGGUAGAGAUGCAGCUUCAAGAGGUGGUGGAGAAGCACUGUCAGACAGAAGGGAACAACAAAUCAGUUUUCUACUUACAAAAACAAUAAUGAUCUAUGCCAAAGGCACAUUGGCAAUAAACAACAAUCUCUGUACAUAUGAAGGCUCCCUCCUUAAUAAAUAAAUGAAGAUCACUUGUUCAUUUUAUUCCCCCCAAUUAUCUCCUUCUAGAAGUACGGUUGAUAUUUUGUUUUCAUGAAUUGAGAAGAAUGAUACACUACAGAGUAAGCAUGAUCAACCAACAUAAUCGUGCAUGAGAACAUGUAAAAAAAUGAUUAGUAAUUCAUGGACUCAUCAAAUGGUUACAAAGGUAAAAAUGUAGAAGGUAAGUAGAACUAAAGAAAUUAGAAAGCAAUCCAAGGUACCUGAUUCGAUUCUGCAGUUUGCUCCCACGAAUCUGUCAAAAAAACAUGAGCUCUUUUAUAGCAAUUCCAGUAUAGGAAAAUAGAAGGUCAUAAAGUUUGUAAUAACUUAAAUAAUCAAUCAUUAAACAUUUGCACCGUUGCUUUAUGUGUCAGCAUUCUUUAAACGAGACAAAAGGAUAGCCAGCUCACAGGUUUAAUCACACCCCAUGCUAGAGAGCAGUUUUUGUGUGCACACAAGGGAAGGGAGGGGGCGUGGAUGUCUGGACUAUCCAUUUUUGUCGGCCCGAACAACCUAAGGGCCUAUUUGUUUGAGCUGCAGCUUUUGGAGCUUCUCUGAAAAGUUGGUAUUGGGGUUUUGGUCCUAAGAAGCCAAUGAUAGAUUUUUUAUGAUGUUAUUAGCUUCCUAAACUCAGGAAGCUACCGAAAGCCCCAAAAAAAGUCUUUUCAGCUUCACAUAUGAACUCAGCAUUUUUGAGAUUUUGGCUUUCCGGACGCUAAAUCAAAAAACUAGUUGUUUGUUAGAGCUUCUGGCUUUUCACGCUGAGAAGCUGCCCAGAAGCUCAAGCAAAAAGGUCCCAGGACAGACUGAGACUAACGGGAACUGAAGUUCCAGUCAUUCAGUACGAAACUUCUCACCAAAUGUCAAUACUUCUGAUGCAGAAUAAAGUAGCUAAUAGUGUCUACACUAUAGCAGCAUAAUUUCUUGCUUUCAUGUACCAUACAAGCAUGAAGACUUCCAUUAAAACAAAUCAAAGCGAUCGCAGGCAACGACCUGGAUGUCGAGGGCACCAGCCUCCAUGGGAGGCAUACAAUUAUCGCCCCACGAUAAUAAGCUAUCUAGAAAUGUGGCGUGAUUAAUAGAAAUAGACAAAGUAAUGAAACAACGGAUAUCGUUGAUGAUAUCCUAGGAUUUUAAGGAUAUCACCAUCGCUGCUGAUCUAGUAUUUCUCUAUAUGCAAGUGUGCUGCACAUCUAGUUCAAUUUUGUUCUAUGAUCCUCACAGAGAACAUCCAUGAUUCAGAGCAUAGAUGUAACAUUGCCAUAUGUCUGAAUUACUAUUACAUACACUAAAAAACAAAAUGUUUUUAAUCAUUUCUAGUGACCAAUGAUUUUCAAAACAACGAGUUUAUUAUAUAAAAAGUAGUUCAGAUAGAAAGGUACUGCAUAGCUAGAAUCUUUCAUUCAUACUUCAAUAUUCAGAAGUGCAUUCAGACCGUCCUCUAAAGAGCCCAAUAAACAAGGAUCCUGUGGGAGAGUAAAAAAGAGAAAUGUUAGUUUGCAUCAGAAUAAUAUAACUAAUCUUUAUUAGACAUAAAUAUUAAAGCUUUUAUUUACCAAGGUGCAUGGCACUCCACAUAAGAGUAAUUUCAUGUUGAUUUCUUCAUCAUAUAUUUUUAUAGCCGGGGUCACUUCAGAUGAACCUUCUUCAUCAACCAUUUCUGUCUCAGGUGGGCUUAUAUUUAUUUUUGGAGCAUCCCCAAGGAGACGCGGACCAAGCUUAACACUUUGCACAUGAUUGUUUCUUACACAAUAUAGACGGAAGGAUGCAUGAGCAAGCUGAAAAGCAUCCCAAGUAUGGCUCACUGAACUGUAUCCAACCAGAAACACAUUUAUUAUAAAUAACUGUUUCAUUUAGAUCGAACUGGAAGAGGGAGGGUGAAUGAAUACCUUUGAAUUGCUGACAUCAACGCAUGGCGAAAAUGAGAUGCUGCAUAAGACGAGAAUGAAUUUCUCCAGUAUAUUACAUAUGGGAUCCCCUGAAAUAAAUUAAUAUUAGUAUUAGUAAAAUUCCCAAUUCCAAAACAAUAAAAUUGGCUGCCUAACACUUAAAGCAAUAUAAAGUAAGAACAUUACAUAUAACAGUUGGUUUUGAUAUAGAGGGAAAACAGUUCAAUAGAUUUGUACAAAUAAGCUAACACGUAAGGCCAUGUUUGGAUCUCAUUUUCAUAUUCUAGAUAGUAACGUAGAAUCUGGAUUUUAGAUAAAAAAAAUGAGGGGUGUUUGGAUCUCGGAUUAUUAUUUUUUUCAUAGUGAGAAUCUCCAACUAGCAGGGUUUUGGGUACGUAGUUAGAUUCUAGUAAUCUCAUUAUAGAAUCUGAGUGUUUGAAUCUAAUUCUCAUUUUUAAGAGAUCCAAACAGGGCCUAACAACAGCAUGAAUUUGUUGCUGAACUAGGAGAAGCAGACAAAAAUGAACAAUCCGAAGAAAAUAUAGCUACUUUUCUAUGCAGCCAUCUCCAAGAAAACAUGAUCUAGUGUGCAAAUAGUAAUACUCUGGUUAUUUGAAGAGAUGCAGUUACUGGACAGGGAAACUAUCUACCUUUGAGUGAACUGCUUGAGCAAGUUUUUCACCAAUAGGAACUUCCAGAUAUACCUGUAUUCAGAGUAUGGUUAUCGGCAAUUGUAAAAGUGUUAAAGAGUUGGACCCAUGUGGCAGUACAGUCAAGAUAUUCCAUAUGCAUUCCUAAAUGAAGCAAAACUCUUUUGUAGGAACAUUGCUUUCCGUAUAAAUUUACAUGAUCUAAACAGAACAUUUUAUGUAUAAGAUAGGAUACAUGGGACAGUCAGGUACUCUUUUUUGUAUUGAGCUAUUCAGAACUGGAUUCAGCGCUAGUACUUAACCUAUUCAAGUAGUUGCUUCAUUUGUAACAUAUAAGACGAGACAAUCACUAAACAAACACACUAGCAUAGAGACUUCAGGUUCAUACAAUAGAAUUUAACAAAACAUCAUAUGUUGUUGUACAAGUAAUCCCAAUGUUCAUAUCGUGAUGCAGCUAGAAACUGAUGCUGAUAUCACAUCCUGGUAUUUGUGGUUUAAUUAGCAGCUAAAUGCACUGCAAGCUAGCAUAUUGACUAACAAGUAAUACAGCAUUUAGCCAUUUACACACACUAUAGUAGAGCUUACUAUUGUUGGGAAUGGUGGGCUGAUAAGAGUGCUAAAUGCCUGCGGAUCAGAGACAUCGGCGUCCCCCCAUACAAGUGAGCCAAUCUCCUUCUCAUCCUCGAGCUGCUGGCCCUGGAUGUACAAGAAGUUAGGUUGCACCACCCGCUGCGCCUCGAGGAACUGCUCUGGUGUAGGAUUGAACAGGGUGUGGACCUGCAUUCAGAAGCCCCUUCAUUCAGCUAACAAAGAAAGGCGAGAAACAGCAAUGAACGCACUCAAGCAAGGAGCACACAGUUGACCUCCAAUCGCCCAGCCGAGCUGAGCUCCGGGAACGGGUAAGCCGGCCGCGGCCGCUUCGCCUCCAGCCCAGACCUCGCUGCUGGUGUGCGGUUCUCAGCAUACUUCCCACACAGCACCGCGAGGAGCGCACAGUUGUUCCUCGAGAAGCUUUGGAUUUGAGACAUGACUGGCCGGCCGGAGCCUUCCCGACGGCAGCCAAGCAGGAGAAAAACCUCCCCUCGAAAUCAACCCCACUUCUUCAUGCACCAAACCCUGCGACACAAAAACUGGAUCAGGAAUCCCCCAAAAUCCGACCAAAUCCGCAGCGAAACCCACGAAUAUGAGCGGGCGGCCUUACCAAGACGCGAUUUUGCGGCGUAAUCGGCGGCGGCACGGCCUCAAUCGACGGCCGGACGCGACCGGGAAGGGGGUGGAUUCGGUGCGGGUGAAUGGGGAAAACAGAGGGUAAAGUGCGCGAGAACACACGGAGCCCUAGAAGACGAUUCGCGGAAAUAGCUACUGCAACAACGCGAAAGCAAAUCCCAGUGCGGAGGCAAUAAAAAAGAGGAGUCGUGCUUGUGGUGGUGGCGAAUCGGCCCACGCCCCCAUCACGAUCCAGACAAACACACACGGCGCAAUCCACAGGGGGGGAGAGGCGGAAAAAAAUCUCUCUCCAAGAACCGGUACAAGAACUGAAGCGGGAUUAACCGGAGACGGCGACCACGGGGAUCGGGCGGGCGGGCCUCAUUAGCAGCGGCAACCAACCAACUGGCAACAAUCCCGCACGCAUCACAGAGGCAGAAACUUUGGAACAGUCUCGGCUCGACCAGGGAGGCGUCAAGAUUGGAUUUUUGACGAUGUGUGGGGAGGCCAGUCCGGAGAUUCUCGCGGACUUUUCCUCCUCGGAUUUUCGCCCUGCCCGCCUGCCUGCUCACAUGCUCGCAAUCACACGCAUCGCUCAGCUUGAUGAGUUGAUGUGUGCCUGCUCUCUGCGGGUGCUGGUGUGUUGUUUUCCCUGCGCUUUUUCGUUUUCUCCUUUUCCUCCUCCGCUUCAUUACUGCUGCAAGCCGGGGGACGGACGGAGGAAAAACGCGGAUUAAAAGAUUAGGAAUUUCGGGAGCAGGAUUGGUGAGGGGGCGAAAUAAUCUCUUUCUGGGAGAAUUGUUUUUGCCGGGAUCGGAAUAUCGGAUGCUGCGACUGCUUUUGGUGUGCAUGUAUGUGUUCGGUUGGUGUUGGUGCAGAUCGAUUCGGUGUGGCCUGUGGACUUGUGGUGUGGUGUAGGGGUUGUGAUCGGGGAUCCGGCUUGGCGCUGGCGCGGUUCGAGACUGCAGGGUGCCAGAGUUGUUGUGCGUCGGAAUUCGGAUGCGUGCAUCGGGUACCGCAGCUCGCGGUCGCGGCGGCUACAUGGAUAAUGGAUGUGCAAAAUAAUUUGUUUACUAUCUCUAUCAGCAGGGAGGGAGGGACUAAUAUGGUCCUAAGGCAUCUGGUUUUUUUAGAACUUUGUUUCGGUUUUUUAUUUUAAAACACUUCGGUUCUCGAGACAUCAGAAACUGAUCGAUUUUAUAGAAAAUGAAAAAUCGAGGAGUUUGGUUUCGGUUUUUCAGUAAAAACUGAAUACUAAACUAAUACUCAACACAACACAUAAAAUAAGUUUAUAUGAUAGAUUACAUAUAACUUUAAAAAAUAAAAAUUAUAUAUGUACAAAUAUUUAAAGAUACAUCAUACAUCACAUAAAAAUAAGUGAAUAACAAUUUCAUUGCAUCACACAUUUAGUUCACAUAAUCGAAUGGUCAAAUUUUAGAAAUGAUAAAGUUUGGUAUUUCGGUUCGGUAUACGGUGAAAAUCGAUUACGAUACCGAAAACGAACCAAACUACUGAAAAUACCGAAAUUUCGGUUCGAUUUUCGAUUUAUGGUAAAAAAAAUGUGUCCACCCUUAUAUGGCCCGGUAUUGUUUGGCCAAUAUAUAUCCUAUCCCUAGCGCAACGCAAACAACAUACUCCUCUCACCUCCCACCCACCCACCCAACCCCCGUCCGCGCAGGCGUAGAUGCACUCCUCCAACUGUGUCCUUCGCCACUACUCGCUGGUGCCUAUGAUCGGCUGUCAUUGCCCACCUAGCCCUAAUCGCGAGGUCGCGACCUUGCCGGUGCUCGCUGGUGACUCGUAGCUGGUGCUUCAUACCCGCGCCCCGCGACGCCUACAUGUACCUCAUGCCCCAUCGCCCAUCGAUGCCCCUUACAACUGUGUCCGUCGAAGUCCGGACACCGAUCGGACGGUACCAGUUGGCUAUAACCACCCAACCAUUAGGUGGCCAAAGGCUCCUUCGCCAUACGCGGCUGCGCCGGUGCCUAUAGUUGGCCAAACGGGCGGCGUGGCCCAACACGCCCUAGCACGGUUAGGUAAUCGGGUCGUGCCGAGCCGGCCCACGUGCCAAAGCCACGGGGCAAGCACGACACGGUAGCCCACUAACUAUGUCGAGCCGGGUCAUUUGCAUUGUGUACCUAUUGAAUAAAUGGUGUAAAUAGGUAAAAAAAGGAUAUGGAGGGGCUUGAACCGUGUCCACCCAGCUACGAACACAAGGCGUGCUCUGCUAGCCAGUACGCCCUACUGCUCGCUAGUGCCUGUGACCGUGGGGCGUCAUUGCCCACCAAGCCCUAGCCCUAAUCGUGAGUUCAUGACCUUGCUGGUGCUCGCUGGUGACUUGUAGCUGAUGCUUCAUGCCCGCGGCGGUGACGCCUACAUGUGCCUCAUGGUCGUCGCCCACUGGUGCCCCUUAGAGCAUCUCCAACAUAUCCUAAAAAUAUAUCUCCCAAUAAACAUGAAUUGGGAUGUCCUUAAAACGCACGUAGCAGCAGUAGCCGUGUGGUGGGUAUCGGUGAUUCCCGCGGUGCCUCCCUCUGCCCUAUGAUUCCCCUCCCGCUGUCGUCGUUCACGACCAACCCGCUGGUGGACCUCUGCACGCUGACGGCGAACCCCGCUGUCGCAUCGUCGGGAUAUACCUUCGAGCUCAUAGUUAGGUAAUUAGGUCGUGUCGAGCCAGCCCGUGCCAAAGCCGCGGCUCAAGCAUGACACAACAACCCACUAACCAUGUCGGGUCGGCCCGUUUACACUACGUACCUAUUGAAUAAAUGGUGUAAAUAGGUAAAAAGGGACAUGGAGGGGGCCUCAAACCGUGCCCCGCCCAGCUAUGACCACAAGGUGUGCUGUGCUAGCCAGUACGGCCCUUGUUGAUCGGUGUCAUAUUGAAGAUAGGUUUCGUAUAUAUAUGUAUAGCAAUAAUUCUAAAAUAAAAAAUAUAAUCGGGUCGGGCCGGUCCGACACUGUGUGCCGAGGAUGCGGGCCAAGCACGGCACGGCUCUCGUGACGAGCCAACAUAGGCCCAUUUUCUAUGUGUCGGGUCAUGCUUGAACACUAUUAAAUGGGUCGUGCCUCGGGCCAGCCCACCAGGCAUGGUCCAUUUAGCCAUCUAUAAUGGUGCCCGCUUGUCCGGUGGUGUAGGGGUGCCAUAUGAGGAUGCUGGAGUUCGUAAACUUGGCUUCAAUAUGUUUGAUGAUUAAUCGUCUCCUUCCUCGUUGAGAUGUCCAAUGUCGGUGGUAAUCAGCCCAAGGAACAAUUUGUUGUCUGGCUUGAAUGAGUAGUCACCAACAAAGGGUGUCACGGUUCCCAUUAUUCUUUAAGAAUAAUUCAACUAGCAAAUUUUUGUAGUACAACCAAAGUCAACUAGCAAAAUUUGUGUUGUGUUGUAUUAGCAACAUCUUGAUUUUGCUCCGUCCUCCGCCACUGUCUAGCAGCCUCCCUAUCCUAUCCCUAUCUUACUCUCUAUUUCAAAUUUUAGUCUAUAAAUAGUGCAAUAUACAUUGCAAACAGUGUUUUACACGCCCACACACACGCUUUGUUUGCUGUCUUCGGUGGAUCGUGGAAACUAUGGGCACAGAACUAUAGAUGGCACUAUUUACAAAGUGGAGAUUGAAAUGUGGGAUGAGAUAGGGGGUGAGGUAGGGGAUCUGCUAACUCCUUGUCUCACCUUCUAUCUCACUUUAUAGUUUAAACUUCACUCUAUGAACAAUAUGAUAUAUAGUGCUAAUACAAAAUAGUAUUUUACACAUCCAUAUACACGCUCUGCUAGAGAUGGCCAUAUAGAGUAUAGUUUGAAAUAAAGAAUAAGAUAAACGGUUUGAUAGAGAGGUGUCGAAGUUUCAAACCAACACCGACAAGUGAAUUUGUGUAUGCGUGUUCUAGAUCUGGAUGGUGUAUUCAGUGGACGCAAGAUUUAUACUGGUUCAGGCAGAACAUCCCUACUUCCAAUCUUCGGUGGCUCGCGCUACCGGCACCUUGUUGUUGAUUACUCGUAAUAGGGAUUACAAGCGGGCGAGAGAGGGAAGGAUCCCAAGUUUCUAUGUGAUAUUGGUUCUAAGGGACUACCUAUCGACUAUCUGGCUCAGUCGUCGAGUAUCGUUGCUCUGCGUUCUCCCUUUUGGGUUGGGCCGACCCUCCUCCUUUUAUAGACUAGAGGGUACCAGUUACAAAUGGUCUCUCGUGGAAAGAAUUGUUGUGUCGUGGUACAAUGAGGCGUUCUACCCUCGGUAGAAAUUCGUUAGUCGGUAUUCACUCUCGUCGUCUGAGCUCUCUGGUCAUGCUCCUUUAAGUCAGUUGGGAUGACGUAUAUGAGCGAGAGGGACCCAAGCGUCAUCAUUACUCCUCCUGUUCCAUGGCGAUCCCUGGCCUUCGUAGCUUGAGCCUUGGCACUCCUCGUCGUGUUGUGGGCUCCGCAGACCAUCACGGAACUUAGGCCUAGGGCUCGAUACGCUAUGAGUGAGCCGCAGGUCUACAAUACAUAGGUCAUGAGUGGGGCUCUGGCCUGGGUGCACAGGUCAUGAGUGGAAUGAGGUACGACUCUCUACUGCGAUGAGGCGCUAGGCAUAUUUAAUGCAGUCAAUCAAUAAUGACGAGGGCACUCUGUGGGUUAGAUACAAGAUCCACUCAAGUGGCCUCCUUACAGUUCGCCUGACCCCUCCCUCUAGCCCCAGGGUCUUUUAGUGUCACACCCGGAUUUAAGGACAAAUUCAUAUACUUCUCACAUGUGUGCCAGGUUUAAGUCUCACACAUGAUUACUCAAGGUAUAGGAAUCAAUGUCACAUAUUUAUUAUAUAAUAGGAGUUUUUAUACAAAAUAAAUAAUUAAAAUACACUAUAUGACGACAACGAUCCUCCACAACCAUAGCUGACUGGAAGACGAUGGCCUUGACCUCUCCAAACUCUUCAUGGAGAUCCUCCUCUUGGCGGUACCUGCUCUUGACCUGGCAUGGUUAUAGCAAGGGUGAGAUCCCAUAAGGUCGUCGCACAACAAGUAUGAGUAAAAGGUAUAGUGUAAGGCUUACGAAGGAAUGUGGUUGAGGCUGAGCAUUGCUUUUAAUUUUGUUGGUCAAAAUUUUAUUAGCAGAUACUAAGUAUAAGUGAAUACCAACCCAAUUAAAUAAAUAAUCAAUAUCAAAAUCCCACAAUGCAAAUGCAUGUCAAAUUAAUUUAAUUCCAUCAUUUACUCAUGUGAGUGCCUGAGUCGCUCUUGACUGUGAGCACGACUGAUAUACUAGUUUUACACUCUGCAAAAAUUGUGCAUCUUUACCCACAAGUCGUGACACCCAUCUGUCACGGAGUCAUGAAUCCCAUACACCUCUUCCGAGGAGGCGAGACAAGGUUUCACUAUGAGGCUUUUACAAAGUUACACUAGCACGAAAAAAUCCGCUAUGAAAUCAAGUACAAGGAAGCAUAUGCCUUUUUCACGGUCUGUAACACGUCGUAGUAAUUAGAGCCAGCACUAUGCUUGCACGACUCACUUCCCGCUUGCCCCUCUCGGGUAAGGAUUCUCACACACUAGCUUUCUUAAUUAAUUGGCCAAGGGCGUCCUAUUCCACCCAUGUGAUAGCACUGUUUUCCUGGGGUGGUUCUCCAUGUUCCAAUUAACAAAGUGAUCUUAUCAUGAACAAUAAUUAAGCCAACAAUAAUAGUAAAGCAUGAUCAUGAUUCAUGUGUAGUAUUAAAUCCAAAAUCAAGUAGAGCAAUAACAAGUAUAUCCAAUAAUUCAUUUAUAUGCAAUGUGUAGGGUAAACAAAACUAUGUAACCUAUUAGGUUGCCCAACAAUUUAACCUAACUGUGCAGCGGUGAGGAUAGAAUCAUAAAUAUUGUUAGGUCAAAGAAUGUGAUUAAGGACACAACUCGCCUUUUACUUGCAAUAACCCGCUGAUCAUAAUUUUCAAACAUGUCGAGCUUCAGAUCCACGUACACUUGCCCGUCUAAUCGCAACAAUACAAAUAAACAGGCAAAUAAUAAUUAAAAAUAACAUUACACCAAACAUGAAAACAAACCGCGUGACAAUAUUUUACUCGUUGAUAUGAAUCCGUAGGUUCGAGAACUACUAAAUCGAAGUUAUAACGGAGAAGAUAUACAUUUUAUAAGAUUCUAGGCUAUUUAAUAUAAUUUUAUGUUUUAAAAUAACUUUCACAUAUUUUAUACGAUUUCCAGUUUAUUUUAUAUAUUUAUCUUAAAAAAGAUAGUGGUUCCUAAUAUUUUGAAGCUUGAGGUCGUUUCUAUAAACUUUAGGACCGAUUGGUGAAGGCAACGGGCCACGACCCCACCUCAAUUUUUAUAAUCUCUUAUACCGAGACUUAGAUAUACAAUGAAAUAAAUAAAUUUUUAUAUAGUAGGUCAGACUAAAUUUAACGAAAACUAGGAUUUGAUCUAACUUUUUUGGCGCUCUACUACUCAGCCCACUCCCCACCCGAGUCAUUUGAUUAUCUUCCCUAUCGCAAGCCCACCCAGGACUCGCUAGCUCCUUGGACCAUCGAGUGACCGGUUCAGUGACCUAACUGUAACGCCCUGAAUUUGGGGGUAGAUUUUUUUUCUUCUUUUUACUCACCAAAUUCAGGCGUUACUCUCUUUCCUUUUCUCGUUUCACUCCUUCUUCCCAAUUUCAAAGCAAUAUAGUAACGGGUGUCCGUGUCAUGUGUAAACAAAACCUAAGUGUCAUGGGUGUUGCAUCAUGCUGAAGCAUUUUUUCUUUGUUGGAUGUCGUGGUUAGUCGCGUGUUCGUCCCGUUUCGGAUUUCGGUUCGCGAUCGGAUUCCGAUUGGUGGUCGUGCGUGUCGUAGGUUUUGGCCCGCGGUGUGGCCCAGCCCGGCCCGGUCCGGCCCAGUCCGGCCCGCGCGCCCCUGCCUUAUGCGCGCACCCCUGGUCUCUUCCUCUCAUUUGAUUUCUCCCGCGCAGCAACCUCCCUCUCCCUCUCCCACCUCUCUCUCUCCCCCCGUGGUGCCCUAGGGUUUGGAGAUGGUGAUCACCGGAGUUUGGAUCCCCAAGGUGAGUUUCUCCUUCCCUCUCCCUCUCCCUCUCUCUAUCCCUCCCCCUCCCUCUCUCCCUCCCCUGCCCGCGCGCCCUCCCCUGCCCUGGCCACACGCCCUCCCGCGCCGCGCGCCCUCCCCUCCCCCGUCGCGCCCCCUCCCCGGUGAGCCCCUCCCCCGCCGCGCCCCCUCCCCGGCGAGCCCGCCCCGUCGCGCCCCCUCCCCACCUCGGCCCCACCCCAUCAUGCCCCCUCCCCGGCGAGCCCGGCCCUCGCGCCCUGGCCGUGCGCCGGUGGCCGCGCCCCAUGCCCCGCGCCCUAGCCGCGCUCGGCUACGCCCUGGCCGCGUGCCCCUGCCCGAGCCCGUGCCCCGGCAGCCUUGCGCCCCGCGCGCCUGCAUGGUUCGCAUGCCCUCGGCACGCGCAGCGUGCUCUCGCGCGUGCGACCGUAGUCGCGCAGUGUUCAACUCUCGUCUUAAUCCAUUUUAAUUUUAGUUUAGUCGAUGUGCUGCGUCGCGCGCUUCGCUGCGUGACGGUUCAUUCUAAAUUCGUCUUUAUUAAUGUGCUGCGUCGCGCGCUUUGUCGCGCGAUGGUUUAUUUUAAAUUUAUAUUUAUUAAGGCGCUACGUCGCGCGCUUCGUCGCGCGACGAUUCGUUUUAAAUGCAGUUCUAUUGACGUAAGCUGUCGUGCGUUUCGUCGCGCAACGCUUAACGUUUAUCCAUAAUUAAUGCAAGAUUCUCGUUGCGCGCUCUGUCGCGCGGCGAGUCGUUUAUUUCUUAAUUCAAUUUAAAUGUCGUGUCGCGCGUCUCGUCGUGCGACCACUCUCUUUCAUUCAUCUUUACCUAAUUAUAAUGAUUAAAUGUGGAACAUGACCUUACUUUAUGCUAAACGCAAUGGCCAAAGUAAUAUCCUUCUGUUUAAAUGAGUAGUUUUAUCUAUAAUUGUGUAACGUGAUCGCUUCUCGACCGUAGGCUCGACCGUCAGUUCCUCUUUCUCGCUUAACCGUAAUUGUGAGCCCCGCGUUGAAUGUCUAUUUGAUUAUUGCAUUUCAUUGUAUGGUGUACUAUUCUUUUGUAUUAAAUGUGUGGAAUGUAUGUUUGAACUCGUAUAGAGAAUGAUCUGGUUGAGGAGCCCGAAGAACUCGCAGGAGAAGCCCCUGAGCAGCAGCUGGUUGGUGGAGGCAAGUGUUCCUUGACCUAUCUUUGUCCCAUACAUUAUAUAAUUCACUUCCCGCAUUUACACAGUUAUACCUAAGGAUUGAGUAGCUUUUGUUAUCCAUGUCCUUGUUUACCUAUUUAGGUUGGAUUAUUAUGGUUUAGCUUUAUGCUAGUGCUUAACAUUAAUCAACGAACAUGAUGAGAUUUAUCUAUGAUAUGUUGUUUUCCUUCUUAUUUAUGAUGAUAUACUUGUGGCAUUCAAGGGGGCUCGAGCGAUUUCUCGAGUGCCUCUCCGUAAGGACCUGUUCGUUGGAUGACCGCCCGGGAAAACAGUGCAACCAUGAGGGUGGAAUGGGACGCCCUUAGCUGAAUAAUUAGAGGAACCGGGAUGUAGUUCGCUUCGUCGUUGUGCCGUUAAUGGGGCUCGGUGUAUGCGGCUCGCUCUGCCAAGGUUGGUUUGCCCCUUGGGGAGGAGUGCGGUACAUUUAGGAAACCUAACGAGCGGCUACAGCCCUGGGAAAUCUUUGUAAAGGCUACGUAGUGAUACCCUGCUGGGUCACCUUGGUAGUGAUCAAUGGAGAGUCAUGAUCUCCGGGCAGAAAAUGAAUCACAGCUUAUGGCUAAACUGCGCAACCUCUGCAGAGUGUUUGAAAACUGAUAUAUCAGUCGUGCUCGCGGUUAUGAGCGGCCAAGGGAGCUCCAGCGAUUAGUGAUACUUGAUCAGAGAUGUUCGGAUUACAGGUGGCAAUGAGAAUGAUGGUUUUGGUAUUGACUCUGGUGAUGGUAAGUGGUAUUCUUUCCAUUUGGAAAGGGUACGUUUGGGUUAAUAACGUGGGUUAAUACUAAAACUUGACUCUCUUUACUAGUAAUAAUAAUCUGACUAACUAAAAGCAACUGCUUGACUUACCCCCCACAUAAAGCUAGUCCACUACAGCCCAACAGGACACUUGCUGAGUAUGUUGAUGUGUACUUGAAAGAGAAAUAGGAUCAAAACUUUUCCCAUAUGAAUUUUGGUGGUUGAAUUGCCCAACACAAAUUAUUGGACUAACUAGUUUGCUCUAGAUUAUGAGUUCUACAGGUGCCAAAGGUUCACAACAAACCAAUACAAAGUCAAAAGAAAGGGUUCAAAACUGCGAGCACCUAGAGGGGGGGUGAAUAGGUGAUCCUGUAAAACUUGAAACUUAAGCCACAAAAACUUGGUUAAGCGUUAGCACAAUAAUCGCCAAGUGGCUAGAGAGGAGUCUCAACAAAAGACAAUAACCACAAGAGAUCAAUCACAGAGAUAGCACAGUGGUUUAUCCCGUGGUUCGGCCAAGACCAACGCUUGCCUACUCCACGUUGUGGCGUCCCAACGGACGAGGGUUGCAAUCAACCCCUCUCAAGCGGUCCAAAGACCCACUUGAAUACCACGGUGUUUUGCUUUGCUUUUCUUUAUCCCGUUCGCGAGGAAUCUCCACAACUUGGAGUCUCUCGCCCUUACACUUGAAGUUCACAAAGAAGCACGGAGUAAGGGAGGGAUGAGCAACGCACACAAGACACAAAAUCACAAACAACACGCACACAAGUUGCAACAAGAGCUCGCAACACAACCCGACGAGUUCACAACUCAACUAGAGCUCUAGAUGCUAUCACGAAGAAACAAAUAUGUGGAAUCGAAGUCUUGGUGCUUAGGAAUGCUUUGAGUAUGCUUGAUGUGCUCCUCCAUACGCCUAGGGGUCCCUUUUAUAGCCCCAAGGCAGCUAGGAGCCGUUGAGAGCAUUCCAGGAAGGCUGAUCUUGCCUUCUGUCACCUGGCGCACCGGACAGUCCAGUGCACCACCGGACACUGUCCGGUGCGGAUUUGUUUCCUUAUUUGGCGAAGCCGACCGUUGCAGAUUGAGAGCCGUUGGCACACCGGACACUGUCCGGUGCACACCGAACAGUCCGGUGCACCAAUGUGACCGUUGGCUCGGCCACGCAUCACGCACGGAAUCCUCGGCCGACCGUUGCCCCGGCUGACCAUUGGCUCACCGGACAGUCCGGUGCACCACCGGACAGUCCGGUGAAUUUUAGCCGUACGCCGUUAAACAACUCCCGAGAGCGACGAGUUCGCCUGUGAACGGCUCACCGGACAGUCCGGUGCACCACCGGACAGUCCGGUGAAUUAUAACCGUACACCGCCGUCGAAGUCCCGAGAGCAGCAAGUUCGCCCGAGUCAGCCUGGCACACCGGACACUGUCCGGUGCACCACCGGACAGUCCGGUGCACUCAGACCGAGCUGACUUUGGCUGAACAUAGCCAUCUCUUUUCCAAUUUGAUUUUUCCUGUUUCCAGCACUUAGACACAAUACAUUAGUCCAUAAAACAAUGUACUAAGUCUAGAAACAUACCUUUUGACAUGAUUUGCACUUUGUCCACCACUUUGCAUAGAUUAACACAAAAGCACUUGUGUUGGCACUCAAUCACCAAAAUACUUAGAAAUGGCCCAAGGGCACAUUUCCCUUUCAAUCUCCCCCUUUUUGGUGAUUUAUGCCAACACAACAAAAAGCAACUAGAACAAGUGCAAUAUCAAUGCAAAUGAACACUCAAAAUUGUUUUGAUUCAAUUUUGGCAUAUAUGGAUCACUAUUUGCCACCACUUGGUUUGUUUUUGCAAAUCAACCUCAAAUUUCUAUCUCUAAGUCAAACACACUUGUUAAGACAUAAAGAGAGUCGUUCUAAGAGAAAUUGAUUCAAGAUUUCAAAAACUCCCCCUUUUUCCCAUAAUCACUUAUUCUCCCCACAAGAGGCCAUCUUUUAACAAAAGAGACAAUAAAAGAGUUUUGACAAACCAAAAGCUCUAUACUACUAUUUUCAAAAUUUCUCAAGUGGUAGCUGAUCCAUUUAUUGCUUUGGCUUUAUUUUCUCCCCCUUUGGCAUCAAGCACCAAAACGGGAUCAAUCUUGGCCCUUUAACCCCAUUGCCUCACCAAAAUCUCCAAAUAAGAAUACAAAGGCAAUAGGAGUACAUGAGAUGAACUUGGAAUAAGUUACCCUCUCAUCGGAGUGCAGUGGAAGUCUUUCAUGGUCCAAGUCCACCUUUUCCCUUUCAAACCUCCUUUGAGACUAAAACAAGCAAACUCAAGCACACGGUUAGUCUCAAAGUGUCAAGUUGUAGCACAUCUCCCCCUAAAUAUGUGCAUCACUUGCAAACGGACUUGUGAGGUCCGGGGAGUGUUUGUACAACUUGAGCACCACAAGUAAAUUACAAAAUGCAUAAGGAACAUGAUUGUCGGCGUUUCGAGACCGGGGGGGUCCCUGAGCCGACGAGUGAAGUGUCGCCGCGUGCCCCAGCCUAGAUGGGUCGACGCGAGGCCGAGCGUGAAGGGGGGAAGUGAGGUGGCCAGAGAUGGGCGUGAGAGAGGUGGAAAUCCCGCGGCCUUCGUGUUCGUCCCGCGCCCAGGUCGGGUGCGCUUGCAGUAGGGGGUUACAAGCGUCCACACGGGGGAAGGAGCGAGCGGCCUUCACGCGAGCGCCCGUCUCGUCCUCGUCCCCGUGCGACCAACCCUCUCUAAGAGGGCCCUGGUCCUUCCUUUUAUAGGCGUAAGGAGAGGGUCCAGGUGUACAACGGGGGUGUAGCAGAGUGCUACGUGUCUAGCGGAGGAGAGCUGGCGCCCUAAGUACACGCCAUCGUGGCAACCGGAGAGAUUUUGGCGCCCGGUUUGUGUGAUGUUGUGGCCGUCGGAGGAGCGCUGGAGCCUGGCGGAGGGACAGCUGUCGGGGCCGUCGAGUUCUUGCUGACGUCCUCUUGCUUCCGUAAGGGGGCCGAGAGCCGCCAUCGGCAGGGAGCGUGCGGGCCGCCAUCAUCGCCUAUCUGGCGGAGCGAGCCAGAUGGGACGCCGGUCUUGUUCCCCGUAGCCUGAGUCAGCUUGGAGUAGGGUAAUGAUGGCACCUCCUGUUGACAUGGCCGGUCCGCGCCCUAGGUUGGGCGAGGUGGAGGCUCCUCCGAGGUUGAGGUCGAGUCCGUCUUCCGUGGCCGAGGCCGAGUCCGAGCCCCUAGGUCGGGCGAGGCGGAGGCUGUUGGCUGAGGCCAGGGCGGAAUUUGAGUCCUGGGGUCGGGUGAAGCAGAGUUCGUCGUCUUCUGGGGCUGAGCCCAAGUCCGAGCCCUGGGUUGGGCGGAGCGGAGUUCGCCGUCUUCCGGGGCUGAGCCCAAGUCCGAGCCCUGGGUCGGGCGGAGCGGAGUUCGCCGUCUUCCGGGGCUUAGCCCGAGUCCGAGCCCUGGGUCGGGCAGAGCGGAGUUCGCCGUCUUCCGGGGCUGAGCCCGAGUCCGAGCCCUAGGUCGGGCGGAGCGGAGUUCGCCGUCUUCCGGGGCUUAGCCCGAGUCCGAGCCCUGGGUCAGGCAGAGCGGAGUUCGCCGUCUUCCGGGGCUUAGCCCGAGUCCGAGCCCUGGGUCGAGCGGAGCGGAGUUUCCUAUGGUGCGGGCGACCGGGCCUGACUGCCUGUCAGCCUCACUCUGUCAAGUGGCACCGCAGUCGGAGCGGCGCAGGCGGCACUGUCUUUCUGUCAGACCGGUCAGUGGAGCGGCGAAGUGACGGCGGUCACUUCAGCUCUGUCAGCUGAGGGGCGCGCGUCAGGAUAAAGGUGUCAGGCCACCUUUGCAUUAAAUGCUCCUGCGAUUUGGUCGGGGUUGCUUCUUGGCGAAGACAGGGCCUCGGGCGAGCCGGGAACGUGUUCGCCGCUGGAGGGGGGCCUCGGGCGAGGCGGAGAUCCUCCGGGGUCGGCUGCCCUUGUCCGAGGCUAGGCUCGGGCGAGGCGUGAUCGAGUCCCUCGAAUGGACUGAUCCCUGACUUGAUCGCACCCAUCAGGCCUUUGCAGCUUUAUGCUGAUGGGGGUUACCAGCUGAGAAUUAGGAGCCUUGAGGGUACCCCUAAUUAUGGCCCCCGACAGUAGCCCCCGAGCCUCAAAGGGAGUGUUAGCACUCGCUUGGAGGCUUUCGUCGCACUUUUUUGCAAGGGGACCAGCCUUUCUCGGUUGCGUUUUGUUCCGGUGGGUGCGCGCGAGCGCACCCGCCGGGUGUAGCCCCCGAAGCCUCGGAGGAGUGGUUUGACUCCUCCGAGGUCUUAAUGCCUCGCGCAAUGCUUCGGCUGGUCUGGUCGUUCCCUCAUGCGAGCUGGCCGUAGCCCGGGUGUAUGGUCGGGACCCAAGUUCUCGGGCUAGUAUGUUGACGCUAUCAACGGUUUGGCCGGAGCCGGGUUUGCGAGAGCAGCCCCCGAGCCUCUGCACAGGGCGAGAGGGCGAUCAGGGACAGACUCGACUUUUUUACAUACGCCCCUGCGUCGCCUUUCCGCAAGGAGGAGGGGGGGAGAGCGCCAUGUUGCCCUCGGUGGGCGCCGAACAUGGUGUCUCCGGUGAGCUGCAGGCGGGUGAUCCGAGCGGACGUCCGUGCCCCAUUCGUUAGGGGUCGGCUAGAGGCCCAAAGGCGCGCCCAAAAGUACCUGCGGGUGAUCUGCCGGACCUAGUCCCCUGGCGACGGGGUCCGAGGGCUCGAUGCCUCCCUCUGAUGGGAUUCCGUUACAAGAUCGUUCCCGUUGGUCUCGGAAAUGUCCUAGGGUACCUCGGGAGCGCAGCCCGAGCCUUGGUUAUGUAUCGAACGUACCCAUGGUCAUCCCUCGCUCUGUGUCUGAGGCGGUUGUGAACCCUUCGGGGGUGAAAGUCGCCUAGAGGGGGGGUGAAUAGGGCGAAACUGAAAUUUACAAAUAUAAACACAACUACAAGCCGGGUUAGCGUUAGAAAUAUAAACGAGUCCGCGAGAGAGGGAGCAAAACAAAUCGCAAGCAAAUGAAGAGUGUGACACGCGGAUUUGUUUUACCGAGGUUCGGUUCUUGCAAACCUACUCCCCGUUGAGGAGGCCACAAAGGUCGGGUCUCUUUCAACCCUUCCCUCUCUCAAACGGUCCCUCGGACCGAGUGAGCUUUCUCUUCUCAAUCACUUGGAACACAAAGUUCCCACAAGGACCACCACAAAUUUGGUGUCUCUUGCCUCAGUUACAAAUGAGUUUGAUCGCAAGAAAGAAUGAGAAAGAAAGCACGAUUGCAAAAAGCCAAGCGACAAGAGCGACAAAUAACACACGGAUCACUUUCUCUCUCAAGUCACUAAUCACUAAUGAUCUCUUUUCUCAAUUGUGAAACUUGGAGAGAUGGAGGCUUUGAAUGUGUCUUGGAAUGGAUUGCUAGCUCUUGUAUUGAAUGUUGAAGGUUGGAAUGCUUGGAUGUAUUGAAUGGAGGUGGUUGGGGUUGUAUUUAUAGCCACCAACCACUUCCUAGCCGUUGGGCCAUUCUGCUGAGCGCGGACGGUCCGCCCUCCUGGUGCGGACGGUCCGCCCCUGUAGAUCAACGGCUGAAAAUGCAACGGUCAGCAGUAACGGCUAUAUCAACGGCUAUAUUGCAUUUAAUGCGUUGUCAGAUGUCAGACAGAGCCAGUCGCGGACGGUCCGGUCGUGUACCCCGGACGGUCCGCGAGGCCCCCUAUAAUUCAUUUCUCUGAACCCGUUACCUUCGGGUUUUCAGUUUCUUACCGACCGGACGGUCCGCGCCUGAGGCCGGACGGUCCGCACGAGGGCUCGGACGGUCUUGCUUUUCCUCCGGACAGUCUGUAGUGGAAACUUGUGUUUUUGCAUUGGUUCUGCCCGAAGGGUAUCCCGGUGUCGCGGACGGUCCGCCGCAAGGGCCCGGACGGUCCGCGCUUGGCCUGUUUUUCCAAAAAACUUCUCCUGUCCGGAAUAAUCUACGGUAUUCCGGACAGUCGAUUUAGUAUAGUUAUAGAUGAACCUUUGGCACCUGUAGAACAUAUAAUCUAGAGCAAACUAGUUAGUCCAAUUGUUUGUGUUGGGCGAUUCAACCACCAAAACAAUUUAGGAACUAGGUGUAAGCCUAAUUCCCUUUCAAUCUCCCCCUUUUUGGUGAUUGAUGCCAACACAAACCAAAGCAAAUAUAAAAAUGCAUAAUUGAACUAGUUUGCAUAAUGUGAGUGCAAAGGUUGCUUGGAAUUGAGCCAAUAUAAAUACUUUACCAGAUAUGCAUGGAUUGUUUCUUUCUUAUUUAACAUUUUGGACCACGCUUGCACCACAUGUUUUGUUUUUGCAAACUCUUUUGUAAAUUCUUUUCAAAGUUCUUUUGCAAAUAGUCAAGGGUAAAUGAGUAAGAUUUUGCAAAGCAUUUUCAAGAUUUGAAAUUUUCUCCCCCUGUUUCGAAUGCUUUUCCUUUGACUAAACAAAACUCCCCCUAAAUGAAAUCAUCCUCUUAGUGUUCAAGAGGGUUUUGAUGAUUCAAAUUGAAAUACUAUUUUCUCCCCUUUUUGGACACAAUAGGAUAUCAAUUGAAAAAUACUCUUGGAAAACACUAAGUUUUUGAAAUUGGUGGGGUGGUGCGGUCCUUUUGCUUUGGGCUCAUAAUCUCUCCCCCUUUGGCAUGAAUCGCCAAAAACGGAAUCAUUAGAGCCCUUUGAAGUGCUUUACUUCCCCUUUGGUCACAAAUAAAUGAGUUAAGAUUAUACCACAGAUGAAGUCCUUUUGCUUUGAAUUCUCCCCUAAAGAUGGAGAGAAGCUUGGAGCGACGGCGAAGGGUGAGUUACGGAGUGGAAGCCUUUGUCUUUGCCGAAGACUCCAAUUCCAUUUCAAUACACCUAUGACUUGGUUUGAAAUAGACUUGAAAACACAUUAGUCAUAGCAUAUAAAAGAGAUAUGAUCAAAAGUAUAUAAAUGAGCUAUGUGUGCAAUCUAGCAAAAGAAGUUGCGUGAAUCAAGAAUAUUGAGCUCAUGCCUAAGUUUGGUAAAAGUUUGUUCAUCAAGAGGCUUGGUAAAGAUAUCGGCUAAUUGAUCUUUAGUGUUAAUGUAAGAAAUCUCGAUAUCCCCCUUUUGUUGGUGAUCCCUAAGAAAAUGAUACCAGAUGGCUAUGUGUUUAGUGCGGCUAUGCUCGACAGGAUUGUCGGCCAUUUUGAUUGCACUCUCAUUAUCACAUAGUAAAGGGACUUUGGUUAAUUUGUAACCGUAGUCCCGCAGGGUUUGCCUCAUCCAAAGUAGUUGCGCGCAACAAUGACCUGCGGCAAUGUACUCGGCUUCGGCGGUGGAAAGAGCGACCGAAUUUUGCUUCUUUGAAGCCCAAGACACCAAAGACCUUCCCAAGAACUGGCAAGUCCCCGAUGUGCUCUUUCUAUUGAUUUUGCACCCCGCCCAAUCGGCAUCCGAAUAACCAAUCAAAUCUAAUGUGGAUCCUCGAGGGUACCAAAGCCCAAACUUAGGAGUAUAAGCCAAAUAUCUCAAGAUUCGUUUUACGGCCGUAAGGUGGGAUUCCUUAGGGUCGGAUUGGAAUCUUGCACACAUGCAAACGGAAAGCAUAAUGUCCGGUCGUGAUGCACAUAAAUAAAGUAAUGAUCCUAUCAUCGACCGGUAUACCUUUUGAUCCACGGACUUACCUCCCGUGUCGAGGUCGAGAUGCCCAUUGGUUCCCAUGGGUGUCUUGAUGGGUUUGGCAUCCUUCAUUCCAAACUUGGUUAGAAUGUCUUGAGUGUACUUCGUUUGGCUAAUGAAGGUGCCCUCUUGGAGUUGCUUGACUUGGAAUCCUAGAAAAUACUUCAACUCCCCCAUCAUAGACAUCUCGAAUUUCUGUGUCAUGAUCCUACUAAAUUCUUCACAAGUAGAUUCGUUAGUAGACCCAAAUAUGAUAUCAUCAACAUAGAUUUGGCAUACAAACAAAUCAUUGUCAAGAGUUUUAGUGAAUAAAGUAGGAUCGGCCUUGCCGACUUUGAAGCCAUUAGCAAUAAGAAAAUCUCUAAGGCAUUCAUACCAUGCUCUUGGGGCUUGCUUGAGCCCAUAAAGCGCCUUAGAGAGCUUAUAGACAUGGUUAGGGUACUCACUAUCUUCAAAGCCGGGAGGUUGCUCAACAUAGACCUCUUCCUUGAUAGGUCCAUUGAGGAAGGCACUUUUCACGUCCAUUUGAUAAAGCUUAAAACCAUGGUAAGUAGCAUAGGCCAAUAAUAUGCGAAUUGACUCAAGCCUAGCUACGGGUGCAUAGGUUUCACCGAAAUCCAAACCUUCGACUUGAGAGUAUCCCUUGGCCACAAGUCGAGCUUUGUUCCUUGUCACCACACCAUGCUCAUCUUGCUUGUUGCGGAAGACCCAUUUGGUUCCUACAACAUUUUGGUUAGGACGUGGAACUAAAUGCCAUACCUCAUUCCUAGUGAAGUUGUUGAGCUCCUCUUGCAUUGCCACCACCCAAUCCGAAUCUUGAAGUGCUUCCUCUACCCUGUGUGGCUCAAUAGAGGAAACAAAAGAGUAAUGCUCACAAAAAUGUGCAACACGAGAUCUAGUGGUUACCCCCUUAUGAAUGUCGCCGAGGAUGGUGUCGACGGGGUGAUCUCGUUGAAUUGCUUGGUGGACUCUUGGGUGUGGCGGCCUUUGUUCCUCAUCCUCCUUGUCUUCCUCAUUCACAUCUCCCCCUUGAUCAUUGCCAUAGUCUUGAGGUGGCUCAUUUGCUUGAUCUUCUACUUCAUCAACUUGAGCCUCAUCC
rnacentral:lncRNA from 1 species